rnacentral:miRNA from 1 species
AACACACCUGGUUAGCCUCUUU